rnacentral:misc_RNA from 1 species
UUUCCGUAGGUGAACCUGCGGAAGGAUCAUUAUAAAUGAAAAACGAAUAACUUCAGGGAAGAAGGGAACCUGCACGGUGACCUCCCCUGUCGGGCCACCCAAUACCUUCAAAAUGCCGCCGUCCUAGCGGUGGCAGACGAAAAAAAAACAAGAGAAACAAAAUAGAAACAGGCACGGUGGCCCGUUCACCUUCACACAACCCUCCGAGUACCGCUUCCAUGUUGCUUCCCCGCAAAUCCACCUCUUUGGUGAGCGCGGGGGUGGUCCGCAUCAAAUUCAUCUGAAUGUCACAGCAGUCAGACAGCCAUUCAUGGAAACAAUAAAACUUUCAACAACGGAUCUCUUGGUUCCC